rnacentral:tRNA from 1 species
GCUGAGGUGACGGAGUGGUAACGUGGCGGAUUGCAGAUCCGCUUCCCGGGGGUUCAAUUCCCUCCCUCAGCU